UGACCUAUUCAUUAAUUUUUUUAUAGGAGUUCACUGGACAAGAUGACAGCGAUCUUUUCUUGGAAGAACGGGAGAAGGCUUUACAGCAAGCACAAACCGAGAAACGUAGAGUUCAAAUGACUGUACCUGGUAUCCUAAACCCGCACGAAGUACCAGAAGAGAUGCAGGACUAGCCCGUUGAUGGAUAUUUUUGUAUCUAUGAGUUUUUACAAGCCGUGCAAUAGUUUGUGUUUUGUAUUUGAUUACUAAAACCGAGUGUGCGCCACUGUAACAUUUGAUAUGGGUUUCCUGUUGUUCGACCACAAAAAUGAGUAUAAAACACUUACUAUAUUGCACUUAUACUGAGAAAGGUCAUUUUUGAGGCUUUUGCGCUAAUAUGCCAAUAAUGAAAGCGUAGUAAACAAUUGACCUGGUCUUUGUUUUUGUAACUAACUUUACUAAAAAAAUUUGUAUAAUUGAUCAGAUAUUGUUUUUUAAUUGAGAGUGAUUUUCUUUGUUAGAGAGUAUGAAUGGGUUAUACUGGGUGUUGUGAACUUGAUUAAAGUUUAAUGUAAUAGUUAUGUAAUGGAUAGUUGUUUAGGUAAGAUUGUUUAUAUAAGUUUUUCUUUAGUUUUGUUAAGGUUUUGACCAAACAAGUUCCCAUUUUUGAUUUUUUUUUUAAAUAAAAAUUAUGCGCUUUUUUCACCAAUUUUUUUCUGUACUUAUGAAUGUAUUUAUCUUUAAUGGGCAGUCAGGUUUCAUUGUUAGUUUGUUACUAUUGUAUGGCAGCGGAUUUAUGAAUAAUUCGGUAAUACAACGCAGUGGUUACUAACCAGCGAUAUUUUGUACAAAAUUUUCAUAUUCAAUUGUAAAAAUGUUAUACUAGCUUUUAAUACUGCAUCUGGAUGAUUCACAAUGCCUGCCAUAUGAGAAAAAAUUUUAGUUCCUCGCUUAGCUAGUAGAACAUUUUCUCACCUAUUAAUAUUAAUUUGGCAUUUCACACCGAUAAUUUCCUUUAGUUUUGUGGCUGUAAAUGGGCUAACGGUUGCGGUUUUACGAAUUGCGUUUGCUUCUGUUUUUAUAAGACUCCCAUUAUCACGACAUUGCCCCCUAUGAAAAUGAGAUAGCAAUUAGUUACAUCUUUUGUACAAAUAGAAUUCUGAUAGUUUGCUUUGUGAGCAGUUCAGAUAUUUUAGAAAUAUAAUGUAUAAAACGAA